AGUGAACGCUGGCGGUAGGCCUAACACAUGCAAGUCGAACGGCAGCACAGUAAGAGCUUGCUCUUACGGGUGGCGAGUGGCGGACGGGUGAGGAAUACAUCGGAAUCUACUUUUUCGUGGGGGAUAACGUAGGGAAACUUACGCUAAUACCGCAUACGACCUACGGGUGAAAGCAGGGGAUCUUCGGACCUUGCGCGAUUGAAUGAGCCGAUGUCGGAUUAGCUAGUUGGCGGGGUAAAGGCCCACCAAGGCGACGAUCCGUAGCUGGUCUGAGAGGAUGAUCAGCCACGCUGGAACUGAGACACGGUCCAGACUCCUACGGGAGGCAGCAGUGGGGAAUAUUGGACAAUGGGCGCAAGCCUGAUCCAGCCAUACCGCGUGGGUGAAGAAGGCCUUCAGGUUGUAAAGCCCUUUUGUUGGGAAAGAAAAGCAGCAGGUUAAUACCCCGCUGUUCUGACGGUACCCAAAGAAUAAGCACCGGCUAACUUCGUG
rnacentral:rRNA from 1 species